rnacentral:rRNA from 1 species
AAACAUGUCUUUUUGAAUUAUAUUUAAAGUCUAACCUGCCCACUGAAAAAUUUAAAUGGCCGCAGUAUCUUAACUGUGCAAAGGUAGCAUAAUCAUUAGUCUUUUAAUUGAAGGCUGGUAUGAAUGGUUGGACGAGGUAUUAACUGUUUCARUUAAAUUUAUUAUAGAAUUUUAUUAUUUAGUUAAAAAGCUAAAAUUUUAUUAAAAGACGAGAAGACCCUAUAAAUCUUUACUUAAUUAUUUAUUUUAAUUAUAAAGAUUUAUUUAAUUAUAAUAAUUAAUUAAGUUUUAUUGGGGUGAUAUUAAAAUUUAAAAAACUUUUAAUUUAAUUUUACAUAAAUUAAUGAAUAAAUGAUCCAUAAAUUGUGAUUAAAAAUUUAAGUUACUUUAGGGAUAACAGCGUAAUUUUUUUGGAGAGUUCAUAUCGAUAAAAGAGAUUGCGACCUCGAUGUUGGAUUAAGAAAAAUUUCAGGUGUAGUAGCUUGAAAAAUUAAGUCUGUUCG